AAACAUUCAAAAGAACAGGACAGACUUGGAGGAGACACAAGCGAGCUGCUGACCUGAAACAUUCACAGGAACAGGGUGGAAACCACAGGUUGGACACGAAAAUCACCACUUAAGUGCUGAAAAACACGUUAAAAAUGGGGAACGUACCGUCAGAAAGUAACAUGGGCGAAAACCUGAGAUGCUGCAAGUGUGAUAUAGUCCUGCCUCCGUGCAAAUCCUUCGAUGAUUU